rnacentral:rRNA from 1 species
CUCUGUGACUCCUACGGGAGGCAGCAGUGGGGAAUAUUGCACAAUGGGCGCAAGCCUGAUGCAGCCAUGCCGCGUGUAUGAAGAAGGCCUUCGGGUGUAAAGUACUUUCAGCAGUGAGGAAGGCAGGUACGUUAAUAGCGUGCUUGUUUGACGUUAGCUGCAGAAGAAGCACCGGCUAACUCCGUGCCAGCAGCCGCGGUAAUACGGAGGGUGCGAGCGUUAAUCGGAAUUACUGGGCGUAAAGCGCAUGCAGGUGGUUUGUUAAGUCAGAUGUGAAAGCCCGGGGCUCAACCUCGGAAUUGCAUUUGAAACUGGCAGACUAGAGUACUGUAGAGGGGGUAGAAUUUCAGGUGUAGCGGUGAAAUGCGUAGAGAUCUGAAGGAAUACCGGUGGCGAAGGCGGCCCCCUGGACAGAUACUGACACUCAGAUGCGAAAGCGUGGGGAGCAAACAGGAUUAGAUACCCUGGGAG